CCUCGCGCGAGGCUUUGGGAAAUACGCGCGAGACGGCGGUGGUGGGUCCGUUCUUGGUCUCGGUCGCUGCGCAGCAGACGCUGUCCUUUAUUGUGCGCUUACUGCGUGAGGGGACACGGGUUUGAUCCCUGGUCCGGGAAGAUCCCACAUGCCGCGGAGCGAUUAAGCCCGUGCAGCACAACUACUGAGCCUGCGCUCUAGAGCCUGCGAGCCGCAACUACUGAAGCCCGAGUGCCUGGAGCCCGAACUCUGCAGUAAGAGAACCCACCGCAAUGAGAAGCCCACGCACCGCAACGAAGAGUAGCCCCCGCUCGCCGUAACUAGAGAAAGCCCGCACGCAGCAGCAAAGACCCAAAGCAGCCAAAAAUAAAUAAAUAAAUUUAUUUUUUU